AGUGGCGGACGGGUGAGUAACGCGUGAGAACAUGCCCUUAGGUUCGGGACAACAGUUGGAAACGGCUGCUAAUACCGAAUGUGCCGAGAGGUGAAAGAUUAAUUGCCUAGGGAUUGGCUCGCGUCAGAUUAGCUAGUUGGUGGAGUAACGGUUUACCAAGGCGACGAUCUGUAUUUGGUCUGAGAGGAUGACCAGACACACUGGGACUGAGACACGGCCCAGACUCCUACGGGAGGCAGCAGUGGGGAAUUUUCCGCAAUGGGCGCAAGCCUGACGGAGCAAUACCGCGUGAGGGAGGACGGCUUUUGGGUUGUAAACCUCUUUUAUCAGGGAAGAAACAAAUGACGGUACCUGAUGAAUCAGCAUCGGCUAACUCCGUGCCAGCAGCCGCGGUAAUACGGAGGAUGCAAGCGUUAUCCGGAAUUAUUGGGCGUAAAGCGUCCGUAGGUGGUUUUUCAAGUCUGCUGUUAAAGCGUGGAGCUUAACUCCAUACCGGCAGUGGAAACUGGGAGACUAGAGUGCGAUAGGGGUAACGGGAAUUCCCAGUGUAGCGGUGAAAUGCGUAGAGAUUGGGAAGAACACCAGCGGCGAAAGCGCGUUACUGGGUCUGCACUGACACUGAGGGACGAAAGCUAGGGGAGCGAAAGGGAUUAGAUACCCCUGUAGUCCUAGCCGUAAACGAUGGA
rnacentral:rRNA from 1 species